ACGAUACGACGGAGCAGAAGUUUCGGAUGGAAGCGAAGAUGUAUGUUCUAGCGGCGGACGGGUGAGUAACGCGUGAGCAACCUGUCCUUCACAGGGGGAUAACACAGCGAAAGUUGUACUAAUACCGCAUAAGACCACAUUGGGACAUCCCAGAGGGGUCAAAGGAGCAAUCCGGUGAAGGGUGGGGCUCGCGUCCGAUUAGAUAGUUGGUGAGGUAACGGCCCACCAAGUCGACGAUCGGUAGCCGACCUGAGAGGGUGAUCGGCCACAUUGGGACUGAGACACGGCCCAAACUCCUACGGGAGGCAGCAGUGGGGAAUAUUGGGCAAUUGGGGGGAAACCCUGACCCAGCAACGCCGCGUGAGGGAAGAAGGUUUUCGGAUCGUAAACCUCUGUCCUUGGUGAAGAGGAAGAGACGGUAGCCAAGGAGGAAGCCCCGGCUAACUACGUGCCAGCAGCGGC
rnacentral:rRNA from 1 species